CAAAAACUCUCUCUAACUUUGGGCUUCUCUCGGAAUUUUGGCUAGUUUUUGAAGAAAAUGGAAGAUUAUGUCAACAAUCCCGCAAAUAUGCAUGAUUUUAGUUUAAUGAAUACGAAAGCCUUUGCGAACCUAAAAGGCUCUGGCGGUAACAUAUGGGAAGUCUUUGAAGUUUUAGAUGAUGCCCGACGUGCUAUUUUCAGAAAUACCGUUUUUGGCUAUUUUAUUGAUGUCCCUCGUUUACAAGGGGACGCUUUAUUGUUUCAUAAAAUGUUCCUUCAUCAGAUCCGGCCGGACCCUGUUUUAUCUCCAGAUGGAAUAAAACGUUUAUAUUUUCGAGUAGGCAAUACCAAAAUGGUUUAUGGGCCGGAAGAGUUUUGUUUGAUUACCGGCUUCAAUUUUGGGGAGUAUCCAAAAAACAUUGGGAGAAAAGGGUCGGAAAAAUUAAUAAGCAGUAAAAAAAGAUGUUUACUGCGUGAACGGCUAUUUCCGGACCAUACUAAUAGUUCGGUGAAAAUCGGCGACUUGAAAAGUUUAAUUUUAAAUCAAACAUUCUUAGCACUUGACGACCUUGAUGCAGUUAGAGUAUGUUUGAUAUACAUUUUGUGUGAAGGUUUUUUGGGCAAAGAAGUUAACGAUCGGGUGCCACAAGAUUGGUUUUUUUUGGCUGAGAAUUUGGAUCUCUGGAAUAGCUUCGCUUGGGGUAGCUAUCUAUGGGAUUUUACUUAUGUUGACCUUGAGGAUACGUGGAAUAAGAUACAUCAUUAUUUAUCACUUCCUGAGCGUGGUCAAACUUUAAAGUAUUCCGUCUCAGGAUUUACGGCUCCAACUAGGGUAUAAAAAUUUUAUUUUAUUUAAAUUGUUUUAUUGUUAUAUUUUUUAUUUUAAUUUUAACUUUUAUUACUGUUAUUGUACAAAAUUGUAGAUAUGGAUAUAUGAGAUGAUUCCGGCUAUUCGUGCAUGUGGAUUUGCAUUGAGAAAAAAUAAAGACUUGCCUCGGAUGAAAAGAUGGAGCGGAACAAAAAAAUUGAAAUGGGUUGACGUGAACAAGAUUUGGUCAAAGAUGCAGGUUUAAAAAUAAUUCGUUUAUUAUUAAUAAAGUUGAUUAUUAUAGUUUUAUAUGCAUUUUUAAUAUGUUUAAUUUUUUAGGAGGGGCUACCACCAAGACAAAACAUGUUACCGGGUGAUGGUGAGAUGACAUCUUUUUAUUAUAUGUCAUUUCAAGAGUAUGUAUAUGGUGAAGGGAAAGCAGUUCCAUCCCCAGUACGGGACCAUUUUAGGAGACAAGACGAAUCUUCGUCUAGUAUGUCGUCCAGUGGUCGCUCUCAUGGUAGAGGUCGGGGCAGUGGGAAACACAAGCUAGACGAGUUGUUGAAACGGGUACAUGCACUGGAGCAGCAUGUGUUUAUGAAUCAACAAAAACCUACAGAGGUUUUUGUUGAAGAAGUGAAUAAUGACCAAUUUUGGAACGACAUUUUUUUUGAGGACCCGACAGUGUCACAAAGAAAUUAUGAUGAACAGGUUGUGCAAGAUGAAGAGAUGAAUAAAAACAAUACAACUCAAAAUGUUUUUGGUGAUACUCAAGACGACAAGGUGUUGGAGGAGAGUAAUCAGUAUGCGGGGAACAAAUUUGAUGAUGAUGUGUUUGAUGUAAACGAUUAUAGUGAAGUUAAAGAGGUUAUUAUAGUUACAUUAAUAUUAUAUUAAUAUUUUGUUUAUUUAGAUAUUAUUGCUUAUUAAA